AUGGAGCACCAGGGACACGGCACCGGCGAGAAGAAGAGCAUCAUGAGCAAGAUCAAGGCGAAGCUCUCCAGCAGCCACGGUGAUCACCAGCAGGCCGCUGCCACCCACGGGCAGCAGGGACACACCACUACGGGGACGCAUGGCACCCCGGCCACCGAUGGUGCCUACGGGCAGCACGGACACACCGGAGCCACCGGCACGGGGAUGCACGAUGCCGACACCGGCGAGAAGAAGGGCGUCAUGGAGAAUAUCAAUGACAAGCUCCCUGGUGACCACGAGGACCACCAGCAGACUGGUGGCACCUACGGUCAACCGGGGCAGACUGCCGCGGCGACGCAUGGCGCCUCAGUUACCGGCGGCACCUAUGGCCAGCAGGGAAACACCGGUAUGGAGACACAUGGCGCCCCGGCCACCGAUAGUGCCUCCAGGCAGCACGGACACACUGGGUCCACCGACACGGUGAUUCACGGCACCGACACCAGCGAGAAGAAGGACGUCGACAAGCUCCCUGGUGGCCAUGGGGACCACCAGCAGACUGGUGGCACCUACGGGCAGAAGGGACACACGGCCGCGGAACCGCAUGGCGCCUCAGCAACCGGCGACACCUAUGGCCAGGAGGGAAACACCAGUACGGGGACACAUGGCGCCCCUGCCACCAAUGGUGGCUACGGGAAGCACGGACACACCAGGACCACCGGGACGGGGAUGCACGGCGUCGAGACGGGUGAGAAGAAGGGUGACGUGGAGGACAUUGAUGACAAACUCCUUGGUGGCCAUGGGGACCACCAGCAAACUGCUGGCACCUACGGCCAUCAGGGACACAUCGCUACGGUGACGCAUGGCACCUCAGCCAUCGAUGACACGUAUGGGCAGCAGGGAAACACCGGUACGGGGACACAUGCCGUACCGGCCACCGAUGGUGCCUAUGGGCAGCACCGACACACCGGGGCCACCGGCACGGGGAUGCACGGCACCAACACGGGCGAGAAGAAGGACGUCAUGGAGAACAUCAAUGACAAGCUCCCUGCUAGCCAUGGGAACCACCAGCAGACAAGUGGCACCUACGGGCAGCAGGGACACACCGAUGUGGCGACGCAUGGCCCCACAGCCACCAGUGGCACCUAUGGGCAGCAAGAAAACACUGGUACGGGGACACAUGGCGCCCCUGCCAUCCAUGGUGCCUACGGGCAGCACGGACACACCGGGGCCAUUGGGGCGGGGCUGCAUGGCGCCGACACGGGAGAGAAGAAGGGCGUCAAGGAGAACAUCAAUGACAAGCUCCCUGGUGGCCACGGGGACCACCAACAGACUGGUGGCACCUACGGGCAGCAGGGACACACCGAUGCGGCGACGCAUGGCGCAUUAGCCACUGGCAACACCACUGUGCAGCAAGGAAUCAUCGGUACGGGGACACAUGGCGCCCCGGCCACCGAUGGUGCCUACGGGCAGCACGGACACACCGGAGCCACUGGCACGAGGAUGCACGGCAUCGACACCGGCGAGAAGAAGGGCAUCAUGAAGAACAUCAACGACAAGCUGCCUAGCGGCGACAAAGACCACCAGCACACCAGUGGCACUUACGGUCAGCAGGCACAAACCGGCACGGCGAUGCAUGGCGCCUCAGCCACGGGCGACACCUAUGGCGAGCAGGGACACACCGAAAUGACCGGCUGGGGGACGCACGGCAACAACGAGAAAAAGGGCGUCAUGGAGGACAUCAAGGCCAAGCUCCCCGGUGGCGACGAUGAUCGCCAGCAAACCGGUGACACCUAUGGGCAGCAGCGACACACCGACACUGCAACACAUGGCACCCUUGCCACCGGCGACACCUACGGGCAGCAGGGACACACCGGGAUAACCGACACGGGGACAUAUGGCACCGGCGAGAAGAAGGGCGCCAUGGAGAACAUCAAGGAGAAGCUCCCUGGUGGCCAUGGUGACCACCAACAGACUGGUGGCACCUACGGGAGCCAGGAAGACACCGAAAUGACUGGAAUCGGGAUGCAUAGCACCACGGCCACAGACGGCAUAGAUGGUCAGCAGGGACACACCGGAAUGACCGGCAGAGUGUCACACGACACCGACGAGAGGAAGGGUGUCAUGGAGAACCUCAAGGAGAAGCUCCCCGACGGCCAUGACGACCACCCGCAGACUGUUCGCACCGACGAGCGCCACGCCGGCACGGGGACGCAUGACACCCCGGCCACCGACGGCACCUAUGGGCAGCACGGACACACUGGAGUGACCGACACAAAGGCGUACGGCUCUGGCGGCACAGGCGAGAAGAAGAGCAUCAUGGAGAACACCAAUCAGAAGCUCCCCGGGGGCCAGAAUGACCGCCAGCAGACCGGUGACACCUACGGGCAGCAAGGACACACCGACACAGCGACGCAUGGCACCCCGUCCACCGGCGGCACCUACGGGCAGCACGGACACACCGGAGUGACCGAUAAGGGAACACAGGGCACCGACGGCAUCGACAAGAAGAAGGAUGCCAUGGAGAACAUCAAGGAGAAGCUCCCCGUUGGCCACGAUGACCACCAGCAUACUGCUGGCACCUACGGGCAGGAUGGACACACUGGAAUGACCGGCACGGAGAUGCAUGGCACCACGGCCACCGACGGUGGGCAGCAAGGACACAACGUAACAACUGGUACUGGGACACACGGCACCGACGGGGCCGGUGAGAAGAAGAGCCUCAUGGACAAGAUCAUGGAGAAGCUGCCUGGACUGAACUAA
rnacentral:rRNA from 1 species